UACGGGGGGGGUAAGCGUUGUUCGGAAUUACUGGGCGUAAAGGGCUCGUAGGCGGCCAACUAAGUCAGACGUGAAAUCCCUCAGCUUAACUGGGGAACUGCGUCUGAUACUGGAUGGCUUGGAUCCGGAAGAGGGAUGCGGAAUUCCGGGUGUAGCGGUGGAAUGCGUAGAGAUCCGGAAGAACACCGGUGGCGAAGGCGGUCUGCUGGGGUAAUGCUGACACUGAUGCGCGACAGCGUGGGGAGCAAACAGG
rnacentral:rRNA from 1 species